GACUUAGUUUAAUUGGCAUUUCUAUUAUAACCUUGCAGGCAUCUUCAAUAUUAUAACCUUGCCAGCACCCAAAGAAUUCAUCCACAUUUAUACUACAUGUCUAUUAUUGCAGCUACAAGUUGAUUGCAUUCCUAGCAGGACUGCAGGGUGCAUCAUUGGGCAUCAUUGGGCUGCAUACCUAUUCACAUUUGAGUUUCAGUCUUUAACAGGUAACACUUAACAACCAAGCAGAAGCGAAGUUAGGAAAGCAGCUCCUGGUAUCUUCUUGCCAGUUAUCAAAGAACUAAGAUACCAAAGCAGCGGCAAGAUGUCAUGCAGAAUGUUAUCAAACUUUCAGUGUAAAUCUCUGCAAGUGUGCCCAUGAGAGUUGUUGCAGAAGGUGGUAUCAGUUUCUACAACAAUAUGACAGGUGAUCCUUCAGCAGUUUUCCGUAGGCAACGUUAAACAGCUAACAUUGCAGAAUGAUAUCAUCAAAACUGCAUGUUUACAUUAUGAUGCUCACUACUUCUUCCCAAUUAAUAUAAAAGUAAAUGGGAGGCAAUUUUACUGCAAUAGAAGAUGCAAUAUCUGACAAGGUGUGUCAACUAUGAGCAACCAUCUGCCAAUUGUUGUCUAAGUGAAACAGCAAAUUUAUCUAUGAGAGAGAGUAAGAGACCAUUGAAAAGCUCAGGCAGAUAACAAACAUUAAAAAGCUCCACACUAUUGGCAUGUCAGACAAUUGAGUUCACAACUAUUUCUCAGAAUAAAACAUAAAAAAAUAAAAACCCUAACUUAAUAUUCCUACUUGCCGAUCAAAAUUAGUCUAAAUUUUUUUGCAGAAACUGGCCAAAUUGAAGUCCUAUAAAUAAUCAAAAGAGCAGAUUAAAAAAAAAAAAGUUUUAAUUACCUUUGAUAUGGGGCGGCCAUGAUAAGCACAGAAUGGAGGAGCAAAGUAGGUGUGAAAAUAAUAGGAAGAACCGAAUCCAUAACAACCUAGACCUCCAAAAAUAAGGAACAUCUUCGUCCCAUAAUUAAUAAAAGCCAUAGUAAAAAGAGGAAUUUUGUAUCGGUAGAGAGAGUUGUUGUUCUUGGUUUGCUUUUUUAGGUUUCUUUCCUUUUAAAGUUACAAGAACACUCUCCGUCGCAACCGU
rnacentral:lncRNA from 1 species